GAGAAUCCUGGUGGGCCAGAGUAUCUUCUCUGGAUAUAUUCUGGCUUCACUCCUGCAUGAGACAGGAACCUGUGUCAGGAAGACUCCGGAGUGGUUACAAGCUGACAGCUCUCUCUACCACAAAAGAGAGGACCUCUGAUCUUAGUCUGUCUCACUGCCACUAUUCAAAACUGUUAGUGCUAGCACUUUUCUGCCAUCAGUCUUUCAUUUGUUUUCCAGAAAUGUUUGCUAAUCACUGAAAGGACUCACACUAUGCUGCUUUCUUAGGUUGGCUCUUUCUCCUUCCAUUUAGCUGAAGGAGAGAGCAAACAACUUUUUUUUGGCAGCCCAGAGAUGCCUAUGGUCUCCCCAGCUUUCACUCACAGCAGCAAAAUAAUGGGAUUAGAAUUCUACUUAACAUUAAAAAUCAAUUACUACAGCCACUGGAAACUGAUGAGAGAUUAUGUAAGACAGUAAAAUCACUGAGUUUUGCUAUUAGUCAGCAUGCAUGUUGCAAAUGUCCCUCAGCAGCUUUUCCUCCUCAGGCAGAGUGGUGCAUGAACUGAUCCAACCAUGGGCAAGCACAGCACAGGUCUCAGCAGGCACAAACGUUGCCCAGCUUCCCUAACUACAGAAAGAGGGGUUUGCAAGCAGAGUGCUGCACGGACAUUCCAAAAGGAAAGAAAAGGGGAAGAAAACAAGCAAAGCUGGUGCACACAAGCUGGAGCUCCCCUAAUGCCCAGAGAGGAAGCAGGCAGGCAGCCUGGAGGACAGAGGCUUGCUGUGGGAAAGAACCUUCUCAGUCUACAGAUGGAAAUCUAUGAGAACAUUUUACUACGGAUUUCAGCAGCUCCAAAUUGUUUCCUGAACAAUGGCUAAUAAUAGUUAACAGAUGCCGCAGAAACAACAUGACAGUACCUUUGGAUUUUCUAUUUCCUGUGAUCACAGUGUCCAGCUAUGAUUUUUAUCUGCCUAAGGGGUAUAAUGGACAAUUUAAUUUACCUUUCUAAUCCCUUAUUUUGCCAAAGAUGUCACCAUUCCUAUUUUAUCUACAGACACAGGAAUACAAGAUUUCUUCCCUCUCC